UGUUCAUAGGUGUGUGGAUUUAUGUCUGGGUCUUUGAUUAGAUUCCAUUGAUCCACCUGUCUGUUUUUACGCCAAUACCAUCAGCAAUAGGUUCUUAUAUCAAGUUCUGAAUAGUAGCAAAGAGCAAUAUCCUUAUAUUUGGGAGUCUAUGGCACCUCCUCUCCUGAAUUAAUUUUGAAAUCUCACAGGUGUCUUUCUUGAUUUUCCAUUUGUAAUAUAUGCUUUCAAGGUAUUCCCAAAUCACUCUCUGGAUAUCAUUAGCACAUAUUGUAAUGCCUCCCUAGUCAACUGUAAAUGUAUUCAUUUCAAAAAAUGAAUACAAUAAUAACAUAUAUAAAAUAAUAAACAAUAAAAUAUUUAAAAGUUUAAAAGUAAUACCAAAUAACUUUAGGGGAGAGUAACAAAAGGUGAAGAACUAAUACAUCUCAUCCAAUAAAAAAUAUUUUUGCAUGAAAUCUUUUUGAUAGUAAAUAAAAAGAUACAAGCAUAUGACUCAAUCCUUCUCUUUUGAAUACAAACAGAUCAGCAGCAGAAUAUCUGAAUACUCUGGAGAUUGCUAGAUGAAAACAUAAGGAGUGAAUUUCAAACUAUAACUACAGAGAAGGACCUUCUGAACAAGAAUGCAGUCGCUUGGGAAAUAAACAAGAUUUGAUGCAUAAGCCAACAUAACACUUAGAAGCUUCUGCACAGGCUUCAUGGUUCCAGCUAAUGCAUCAAAUACAAUAAUGAAAAGGACUGGGCAUAGUGGACAGCACUGAUUAUUUUCAGAUUUGAUUGGGAUUGAUUCAAGUUCUUCUCCACUGAACCUGACGCUGCCCGUGGGUUUGUCAUAGAAACCUCCAUUCUAUUGAGGUACCAUAGGACUUUUAUCAAAAAAAGCAUGUUGGAUUUUAUCAAAGGCUUUUUCUACAUCUUUUAAGAUCAUCAUGUGAUCUUUGCCUUGA